rnacentral:rRNA from 1 species
UACGUAGGGUGCUAGCGUUGUUCGGAAUCAUUGGGCGUAAAGCGCGUGUAGGCGGUUCAUUAAGUCGGGUGUGAAAUCCCUGGGCUCAACCCCAGGAAGGGCAUCCGAAACUAGUGAGCUGGAAGAUGGUAGAGGAAGGUGGAAUUCCAAGUGUAGAGGUGAAAUUCGUAGAUAUUUGGAGGAAUACCGGUGGCGAAGGCGGCCUUCUGGACCAUUCUUGACGCUGAGACGCGAAGCGUGGGGAGCAAACAGG